CCUUUACACAGCAGCAGACGCCUUAGAUAAACAAAGAUAACCGCUUAAAGCCAGGUGUAAAGCAAGAUACCAUACACAUCAGCGAAUUUACCAUGGUUUACAAACUACAGUGCAAAGACAUGACCAUUUGUUCCUCUGUCUGUAGUGAAAAGCAUUCAGCCCAACGAAAAUUUUGGGAAAAGUUGGAGGUGGGCAAAGAGGCCAGAAUUAACAUUGAAGUCAAUGGGUAAAUUAAUGGUGGUCUGCCGCCUUAUAGCAAAGUCGAUAGAUCGGUAAUAGAUGUACUUGUUACAAGUGAAAACUUUCUUGUAUGGUUUUGUGUAUAUUGUUCAAAUAUAAAAGUGACAGCCAAACAUAUGCUGACAGUGACAUUGAUUUUAAUAGUGAUGAUGAUAUUGAUGAAAUUAUGUGAGUAGGCUUACACCUGUAUACAUGUAUUUUUGUAAGCAGUUUUUAAAUAUUACAUAUUUUAAAUAUGUUUUACUUAAAUGUACUGUACAUGUCAAUAAAUUUUCAUAUUAUAUUUUGUCACUUUAUGCUAUAUGUUUUUAUUUUACUUUUUUAUUCUAAUUCAUUUCCGACGGUUUCCCCUUGUCAGUGGUGCAGACGGAGGGCUGACAAGGCACAAGGACAGCAGUCUAGUCGAGGUCCCGUGUAUAAAUUGGUGUGCACGUAAAAAGAUCCUUUGGCAGUUGUAAUUUGAUAUAAACGUAGGCCAUAGUGCUGUGCCCAGGCUAAAUUUGCUUUAUAGCACACUGUAUGGCGUAUAUGCCCAUCUUCAUUAGACCAUUUCAUUUCUAAUUCAUUUUACUAGAACCAUUUUACUUAGGUAAUUACUGUUUGUUUUUCUCUUAUAUGUACUUUUAUUUACUGGUUGGUAUAUAUCUUUUAAUUUUGUACAGUGUAUAUGGGUACAAGACCUGAUCUCUGUGUAAAUACAUGUAUUAUAAGAACCUGAACAGCACAUUAGAAACUGUUCUCCAGUAUUAAUACACUUUAAAAAAUGAUGAUGUUAUUAUAAUUAUUAUAUACAUUUUUCAUUAAUACUAGUGGUGUAUGUUAUUGUUGUGUACGAGGAAAUUUAUAUAAUUGCAUUUGUUUAUUUUUUUUAAUUUCUUUCUUUAAAUAAAUGUAAUCUUAUACUCUCUUAUAGGGGGUUGGGUAGCCGAAUGGGUAGCAUAUGCGCGCUGUAUCAUAAGGUCUGUCAUUGAGUCCACUAGCAUGGGUUAGAUUCCACGGUUGUACUUGACAAGGAGAAGGGUGGCCUGUCCAACCUCAUGGGUUUUCUCCGGGUCCUCCGGUUUCCUCCCACUGCUAAAGACCACUACACGCAAGCGAAUUAUUGGAAUAAAAUUGAACCAAAAUUACCUAGUUUGUGUCGAGUGGAAGUUAAACCCCAUU